GUUUAUCCCGCUCCUGAGGGUGGGGAGGUACCCCCAGGCGCAGGCACACAGUAUAGUGGGGUCAAGCAUCUAGCUGACCUAAUUAAAAGCUCAUUACACUAGCCCAUCCCCAUUAACAGGCUGACCCACGUGCAAAUCCAUUAACCCAGGAGUCUUCCCUGCUUCCCAAAUCAGGAAUCCCAGCCGCAGCCCCGGGGCCUGGAAACUCCGGCCAGUUUAUUAAAGUGCCUUCCCCGCCUGUGACCAUCAGGCAAAGGGAGAAUCUUGCUGGGAAUCUCGCUUCUAGCCAAUGAGGAAUUUUCAGAAAAGCGAAAUGGAAUGCAUCAUUUUGACAUCUCUGCAGAUCUGUAUUCCGAAAGGUACUCAGAUAUCCACGAAGUCCUCCUCAUCUCACACCAUCGUUUCUCUCACUGGGCACAAUCCAGCUUUAAAGAAUUCAACACUUACUGGUCUUCAGAGGACUGUCAGCAAUGACAGCAACCAGGGAUGCUGACAUGUCUUGUUGUUUACAAAGGAUGAGCACAAGGCCUUUUGGAUAACCUGAUAAGCCCUGCAACUCCUCUCUCCCUGUUCCUCACCUCUCUGGACCAGCUGCCUUUGUGUGGUGGGAAAACUGAGAUUUUGGGAUCCAUGCAGCUCUAUGGAAUAUAUUAUGGGUGAAUUUUGAACCCAGGUCUAUGUGCUUCCAGGGUCCUAAUAAGGAAGAUUCCCAAAGGCUCUGCAAAGAAAGCUCUAAACACUUUGUCCCUCCGAAUGUGCUCAGCCUUGCCUGUGCCUUCACCGAGCAGUCAGAAUCACACUGCAGCUUCCAGGACAAAGAGAAGUCCAGAUAGAGAGAGGAUCCAUCCUGUUGUCUCUGAAUCGCAUCUCUGUUUGGCUUCCAUGGGCAGAUAUUCUGAAGUAG